AUGAGGAAGGCGGGAUGGAUGAAGAGACAUGCCUUUGAGUUAGGGAUUGAAGCAAUCAUGUACAACAGAUAUGAGGGGUCCAAGAAAAUAAUCAUGCCUAUUAGGUUUUCGGAGCUGCAUGACAGGUUCAAAGAAUCAAACCGUUUGGAUGAGCAAGACAUGGUUGAAAACCAAGAGCAUUGCCUGUGCUUUGUUGUUCACAAGUCAGAUCCAGAGAAUGCCGAUGGUGCACACCACUACUGGCUACUCAACAUCAAUCUGAGGGACAAAAGGUUCGAAGUGUUUGACUCAUGGAGGGUGUUAAAGAAAACCAAGAGGCUAGAUGAUGUAGCAAGUGUUAUUGUAGCAGCAGUUCGUGUGUUGUGGGACAAAUACUAUCCAAAAAAAGCAAAGACAAUGGACAAGUUCCCACUUGUGGAUAUCGAUGCACCAAAGCAGACUGUAUCGGGUGACUGUAGCAUAUUCUCAUUGAUGAACGCGUUAUUGUGGCAUGGGACGUGGCUCCCGAACUACGGACAAAACAACAUACCAAACAUCAGGAAGAAAAUGACCAUCUCCAUGCUGAAGUGUGACCUGAACAAGAUUCUAUGGCAGGAGAUCCUCAAACCGGUCAACAAGUGA
rnacentral:rRNA from 1 species